rnacentral:rRNA from 1 species
UUAAGCGACUAAGCGUACACGGUGGAUGCCCUGGCAGUCAGAGGCGAUGAAGGACGUGCUAAUCUGCGAAAAGCGUCGGUAAGGUGAUAUGAACCGUUAUAACCGGCGAUGUCCGAAUGGGGAAACCCAGUGCAAUUCGUUGCACUAUCGUUAACUGAAUACAUAGGUUAACGAGGCGAACCGGGGGAACUGAAACAUCUAAGUACCCCGAGGAAAAGAAAUCAACCGAGAUUCCCCCAGUAGCGGCGAGCGAACGGGGAGCAGCCCAGAGUCUGAAUCAGCUUGUGUGUUAGUGGAACGGUCUGGAAAGUCCGACGGUACAGGGUGAUAGUCCCGUACACCAAAAUGCACAGGUUGUGAACUCGAAGAGUAGGGCGGGACACGUGGUAUCCUGUCUGAAUAUGGGGGGACCAUCCUCCAAGGCUAAAUACUCCUGACUGACCGAUAGUGAACCAGUACCGUGAGGGAAAGGCGAAAAGAACCCCGGCGAGGGGAGUGAAAAAGAACCUGAAACCGUGUACGUACAAGCAGUGGGAGCACCUUCGGGUGUGACUGCGUACCUUUUGUAUAAUGGGUCAGCGACUUAUAUUCUGUAGCAAGGUUAACCGUAUAGGGGAGCCGCAGGGAAACCGAGUCUUAACUGGGCGUUAAGUUGCAGGGUAUAGACCCGAAACCCGGUGAUCUAGCCAUGGGCAGGUUGAAGGUUGGGUAACACUAACUGGAGGACCGAACCGACUAAUGUUGAAAAAUUAGCGGAUGACUUGUGGCUGGGGGUGAAAGGCCAAUCAAACCGGGAGAUAGCUGGUUCUCCCCGAAAGCUAUUUAGGUAGCGCCUCGUGAAUUCAUCUUCGGGGGGUAGAGCACUGUUUCGGCUAGGGGGUCAUCCCGACUUACCAACCCGAUGCAAACUACGAAUACCGAAGAAUGUUAUCACGGGAGACACACGGCGGGUGCUAACGUCCGUCGUGAAGAGGGAAACAACCCAGACCGCCAGCUAAGGUCCCAAAGUCAUGGUUAAGUGGGAAACGAUGUGGGAAGGCACAGACAGCCAGGAUGUUGGCUUAGAAGCAGCCAUCAUUUAAAGAAAGCGUAAUAGCUCACUGGUCGAGUCGGCCUGCGCGGAAGAUGUAACGGGGCUAAACCAUGCACCGAAGCUGCGGCAGCGACACUAUGUGUUGUUGGGUAGGGGAGCGUUCUGUAAGCCUGCGAAGGUGACCUGUGAGGGUUGCUGGAGGUAUCAGAAGUGCGAAUGCUGACAUAAGUAACGAUAAAGCGGGUGAAAAGCCCGCUCGCCGGAAGACCAAGGGUUCCUGUCCAACGUUAAUCGGGGCAGGGUGAGUCGACCCCUAAGGCGAGGCCGAAAGGCGUAGUCGAUGGGAAACAGGUUAAUAUUCCUGUACUUGGUGUUACUGCGAAGGGGGGGGACGGAGAAGGCUAUGUUAGCCGGGCGACGGUUGUCCCGGUUUAAGCAUGUAGGCUGAUUGUCCAGGCAAAUCCGGAUAAUCAAGGCUGAGGUGUGAUGACGAGGCACUACGGUGCUGAAGUAACAAAUGCCCUGCUUCCAGGAAAAGCCUCUAAGCAUCAGGUAACAUCAAAUCGUACCCCAAACCGACACAGGUGGUCAGGUAGAGAAUACCAAGGCGCUUGAGAGAACUCGGGUGAAGGAACUAGGCAAAAUGGUGCCGUAACUUCGGGAGAAGGCACGCUGGUGUGUAGGUGAAGUCCCUGCGGAUGGAGCUGAGACCAGUCGAAGAUACCAGCUGGCUGCAACUGUUUAUUAAAAACACAGCACUGUGCAAACACGAAAGUGGACGUAUACGGUGUGACGCCUGCCCGGUGCCGGAAGGUUAAUUGAUGGGGUUAUCCGUAAGGAGAAGCUCUUGAUCGAAGCCCCGGUAAACGGCGGCCGUAACUAUAACGGUCCUAAGGUAGCGAAAUUCCUUGUCGGGUAAGUUCCGACCUGCACGAAUGGCGUAAUGAUGGCGCUGUCCACCCGAGACUCAGUGAAAUUGAACUCGCUGUGAAGAUGCAGUGUACCCGCGGCAAGACGGAAAGACCCCGUGAACCUUUACUAUAGCUUGACACUGAACAUUGAGCCUUGAUGUGUAGGAUAGGUGGGAGGCUUUGAAGCGUGGACGCCAGUCUGCGUGGAGCCAACCUGAAAUACCACCCUUAAUGUUUGAUGUUCUAACGUUGGCCCCUUACCGGGGUUGCGGACAGUGUCUGGUGGGUAGUUUGACUGGGGCGGUCUCCUCCCAAAGCGUAACGGAGGAGCACGAAGGUUAGCUAAUCCUGGUCGGACAUCAGGAGGUUAGUGCAAUGGCAUAAGCUAGCUUGACUGCGAGCGUGACGGCGCGAGCAGGUGCGAAAGCAGGUCAUAGUGAUCCGGUGGUUCUGAAUGGAAGGGCCAUCGCUCAACGGAUAAAAGGUACUCCGGGGAUAACAGGCUGAUACCGCCCAAGAGUUCAUAUCGACGGCGGUGUUUGGCACCUCGAUGUCGGCUCAUCACAUCCUGGGGCUGAAGUAGGUCCCAAGGGUAUGGCUGUUCGCCAUUUAAAGUGGUACGCGAGCUGGGUUUAGAACGUCGUGAGACAGUUCGGUCCCUAUCUGCCGUGGGCGCUGGAGAAUUGAGGGGGGCUGCUCCUAGUACGAGAGGACCGGAGUGGACGCAUCACUGGUGUUCGGGUUGUCAUGCCAAUGGCACUGCCCGGUAGCUAAAUGCGGAAGAGAUAAGUGCUGAAAGCAUCUAAGCACGAAACUUGCCCCGAGAUGAGUUCUCCCUGAGACUUUAAGUCUCCUGAAGGAACGUUGAAGACGACGACGUUGAUAGGCCGGGUGUGUAAGCGCAGCGAUGCGUUGAGCUAACCGGUACUAAUGAACCGUGAGGCUUAACCU